AAGUGAUUAUCGGUGAUUGUUACAUAGCUGUAUAAUGAGUUAUAUCUUGGUUCUUGCUGUUCUUUCAUACUCAAGAUUGCUGGAUUGCCAAGUUACGUUUAUUAAUAGUGCUGUCGGGCAAAUGGAAAGGAGGAUUCCAUCCUAAAAAACACUCGCAAACAGGUUCUUGGAGGAAACACAUCAAGGAAAAUAUGAAACCUGUGUUAUGCUGUGGGAACAGAUUUUCCUCAGCAGGGAGUUUUCAAUACCAUAUACUAAAAAAACAUAUUACCGCUAGAAGAUACAAUUUAAGCAAAUGCUGUAUAUCACUAGAAGCUUAAACAAAGAGGUCAUCAUUUUCAGAUAGUUGGCUUACAAAGCAGAAGUUCUGUGGUGGUGAGGUGUUUUGAAAGUCGAGAUUUGUAAAAUUGAAGAUGUGAGGGAUUUCCCAGAGGUUAUUCCUAAAAAAAAUUAAGAUGAAAAAAAAAGAGGGCAUACCAGCGUGCGAGAAUUGCCUCUCCCUUCCUUGAGGUCGUGGAAGAAGUUCUCUCUAAGAAAGAAGAUGAAGAUGAAGAGGAAGACGAAGAGAUGUUGUCCUCAGAUGAGGAAGAAAAGAACUAUGAGAAUUUCUGUAGAUUAUCAUCAGGGAAAUUAUUCUUUCUUUAAAUGCGCCUAAGCACAUAGUAUUAUAAAGGGCACUAAAUAAAAAACAACAAAUAAAAAACAACAAAUUGUAAAUAAGUGGGAAACUUAAGGAAAACCGUUAAUUUGCACCACAUAGAUAUACAUAGUUUUUUUUUAGAUCUUUGUCGUUUAUUCACAAUAUUAAUAGAUAUGUUCGUUGGUCAGUAACUGCGCUCAAUUUUUUUUUCUCAGUAUCUAUGCUUAGUCACGCCGACUUAUAACCACAAUUUACUCUGUAGAUUGGCAGGACAAUCUCGAACUGUUUUGAAUCCUAAGGGAAGGGCUCUCAUUUCCCUUCCAGUAAAAGUUGAUUAAUCAUGGAUUUUAUGAGUGAGUAUUCGUUUCAAAGUAAUAGAAUAUUUUAUUCUCUCUUAAGAUUUUCUGAAAUUCAAGAUAUUGUUUCUCAAUUUUCACAUAUCCAAAAACGCAAAUUGGUUGUUGUUUUUUAUUUAAGAGAUAUAAAACGGUGCGCGUGUCUUUAUGCCAUUCUAUAGGAACUUUGCGAACGAAAAUUUACUCUGCGCCUUUUCAGUGUGUAAAUCUCAGUAUGUAUAUUAUAAAUCAUAAUAUUAAAUGAUAAUAAACAGUGGUACCUCGUGGUACCUAAGAAAUGAG